GACGAACGCUGGCGGCGUGCUUAACACAUGCAAGUCGAACGAAGUGGCGAACGGGUGAGUAACGCGUAAUCAACCUGCCCUUCAGAGGGGGACAAUAGUUGGAAACGACUGCUAAUACCGCAUACUGAUGCAGGGGUUGGUGUCUGAUGAGCUAGUUGGAGGGGUAACGGCCCACCAAGGCGAUGAUCAGUAGGCGGUCUGAGAAGAUGAACGGCCACAUUGGGACUGAGACACGGCCCAGACUCCUACGGGAGGCAGCAGUGGGGAAUCUUCCGAAAUGGACGAAAGUCUGACGGAGCAACGCCGCGUGAGUGAUGACGGCCUUCGGGUUGUAAAGCUCUGUUAAUCGGGACGCGGUACCGGAAUAGAAAGCCACGGCUAACUACGUGCCAGCAGCCGCGGUAAUAC
rnacentral:rRNA from 1 species